UCUGUCCAUUCAGUGCUUCCAUCCCUCCCUAUCUAAGCAGUGUAACGCUGGGCUCUCUGACAGGAGCAAGCUCGAGCCAAGCAAGAGAUUCUACUACACUGCAGAGAAGACUUCAAACUUUUGCCCAAGGAAUAUUACUUCAGUCUGCUUGUUCCUCUAUUUCUAUGGAUGACAGGUAGCAGCUGCCACACUUCAGUCUUUGUUUUUGUUUCAUUCGACUGGAAACAUAUUGGAGUGUUACUGGAAAUCUAUACAAACAUUAGGGCUUCAGGAGUGAAUGCAUGUUCAUCCUCUUUUUCCUCACUUCAUGUGAGGAAAAGAACUGAAGGAAUCUGUGGCGUCAAGCUGUAUUGGAUCGAGCUUGUUCGGAGAGUGUUUUAUUCUAAACACGGGGAAAUGGACUGACUCACUGAACUCCUCUGGAUGUUGGAGUUUGAAAAGCACUCUCAUGAGAUUUUAGUCCUGCAUAAAUAACAUUCCUUUGACUCAUCAAGACACACAUUUCCAGACUAUUUGUUUGUUUUCCAUAUUUGCUUUUUCUUUUGAACACUUUUGUUUCUAGGAGCUGUGGACUGAUUGUUUAUUGCCAUAAGAGGUGGUGGAUUUCUUGAGCUGGCUCUUCCUUUCUCUCUCUCUCUCCUCUCUCCCUCUCUCUCUCUUUGAGAGUCUGGCAGGUCUCCUUCAGCAGAAUACCUGACAUUGUGGCUGUGUGUAAAGGAGGUAGAAUCCCCAAGAUUGAACCUAUCCACACUCCAGAAAUUUGUGUUUGAAACCUUUAAGAAGACAAGCUCUUAAUUUGACCCCACAACCAGGAUUUUCUAAGACCAGGAGCGCCAGGAGUUAGGAUGGAGAUUCUGGGCUUCUCCCUCCACCAGCAGAGCCUCUGGAGCUGUGGCGACGGUCUUCAGCAGAUGCACAGAUGCAGCAACAGAAGCUCGCUGGUCCUCAGGGCUGAUUCAGACCAGUGACUUGGACUGCUUGAUUACGGAGCGGAAUUUAGAGUUGCUACUGUUCUCUACGCUUGCCUUGCGGAGGACGGAGGAGCAACUGCCAUACUGAUCCCAUGCAGUUCUCACCUGGAGGUCAGGCAAAGAGUUAGACACGCAGACAAGUCUGGAUAAGCCGGCAAACGUGUCAAUGCUCCAACUCAUUCUAAGAUGAAGUUAUGGAAGUGUGCCGCCAUCGCUUUGACACUCUUUGGUGCAGCACUGUCCCUCUUCCUCACUAGAAACAUGGUUCCCACAUCUCUGCGUCACCUCCCCUCCUGGGACACGUCACCGUUGCGGACGCCCUCGUCCUCCAACUCCUCCUCUUCGGCGCUGAUCGGACAUCCUCGCAAAGUACGGUCAACAGAAGGCAUCCGCGACAUUUUGACAGAAUUCAUGCACAUGUUCCAGAGCUUCACAGAAGGAGACCUGAAGGAGGUGAUCGGGAUUUUGGCAGAAAAAAAAGCACGUCAGGAGGCCAGGCAGAGCAAAAGGACUAAACGGGCUAAGAAAGCCUCAAAACCUUGUUCCCUUAGACGGGUGGAAGUGACAAUCAGUGAGCUGGGUCUGGGUUACGAAAGUGAUGAGACGCUGCUCUUCAAGUACUGCAGUGGGAGUUGUAUAGCUAGCCGCCGAAGCUAUGACUUGAUACUAAAGAAAUGGACAAGGAAAGGGAUCUCUAAGAGGGAGAGGGGGCCCUGUUGCCGGCCCACUAAUUAUGAUAAAAUUUCCUUCCUUGACAAUAGUAACAAAUACAAGUCACUCCAAGAGUUCUCGGCUCUGGGAUGUCAUUGUGUAUAACACCCCAGGAGCAGCCAUCUGACUUCCCAGAUCCUGAACAUGAGAAACGCAACGACUACUGCUAUGAUAACAAAAACAGGAGUACUCAAGAAUUGAUCCAUAUGGUACAAUGCCAGGGAAUACAGACUUUUGAAACUAUCUUCUACAACUAUUAAUCUUGUGUUUGAUUUCAAAAGUCAAAAGCAAAUUAUGUUUUGCUUUCUUUGCCUUUCAUGGGACAUGUGUCAGUCAGUUGUGAUGUAAUAUAUUGUAUAAUACAUCAAAGGGCAAUCUUGUUUGUUGAUUGUGGACUACGGCUCCACCACUUAUUCAAAAGAUCAACUGAGGUAUAGCGAUUGCAUGCACCAUUUUGAGUCAGGAUCUGAUACCAAUCUUUAAGAGGCCUGUUUGUAUUCAGAAGUAAGUGUGUAGAAGUGUGUACAAGCAAAACAUUAGAACCACAUAGUGAAUGCCAAGGAUGACAGUACACAAAAAGAUGACACGAGUAUGAUCAACUUCUUUAACAACUUCUCGAUCUGCACCACUGUUACAGCAUGAUGUUUCACUAUGGCAAGACUUGGAACAGCAAACACAGUAGAAGAGGAAAAACAAUAGACUUGGAGUAACAUGUUUAGCAGGCUUUGCGCAUUGUAUGAUGUGUGCAUUUAUUCAAAUCAAAGGACAUUUAUUAAAUAAUUCAAUCUCUAGCCUUCAUUAGUAACCAAGAAAAUCUACCUCAUUUAUGUUGAACAAUAUUGGACAACACCCAAUUUAAAAGAGCACUUACAUGUUCUUCUGCUGCUUCCUCUCAAUUUGUCACUAGAACCGGACAGAAAGGAGAUAUUUCUGUAAUACUGUAGACAAUAGUAAACACAUAAAUGACCUCUGUUGGCUUAAGAAGAUGCAGGGUAAAAAAUAACUACAGCCACAUGCUUGUUGAAUGCUUGUUAAAUGCAGACUGUAUGGGUGAUUUAGGUUUAAUGACAGCAGCUUGUUAAUCAACUGGAAUGGCUGUAGCUUUAUAAGCCUGUUCCCGGAAAGAACAAUCCAACAGAAAAUCUAAACCAAAAAAAAAGCUUUUACAGCAAGAGUACUGUGAGCUCAUCAAAUUUAUUUGUGAUGAAAAUCCAAUAACGCAGUCUUGUUUGAUAAUCUAGGAGGGGUGAUACUGAGCGAUGCAUUAAAUGUCUGACUUCUGCAUUGUAAAUGUGCGAGAGGGAUUGUGCUUCAGUCUUAACCUGAGUUAGCCUCUGCAAAUCCAUACCAUUUGUUCAAAUCCUAUAAUAGACUACCCUAAUCCACUUACCUUCUUUAUAACUGACUUGGGCGAAAGCACAGAGUGCAAACGAGAAUUGCAAGCCAUCAUGCAGCACUUACAUCUAUUUUUAGUCACUAGAUGAUCAGAAAACACUGGAGAUGUAUACCUUUGGAUUUAACCAUACCUAAGAUGUGAUUCAUUAAACAGUGUUAUGGUCUGGAAACAAAAUGGAAAGUUCUGGUCACAUAUACACCAUAACACUUAAAUUAUAAUAACGGACCUUGAGAAAGUUCAAGAGCAAGACAAAAAAAGGACACUAGUUCACAUGGGGCUGCAUUAAAAUAGUAACUUCAUCCGAAUUAGACAUUAGAGUAUCUACAAGUGAAAGGUAGAGUAAGGUUUAAGGUGAAUGGUCUGAAACCUGUGGUGAUACCUAUAAGGUUAAGACCAAUAAAAUAAUUAGAGCAGAAAGGUAAUUUAAGGCCCAUGCUGGUGUUAAGCCAAGAAAACAGUACUCCCAGUUCUGGAACAUACUACUCUCAAGUCCAAAAUGUGCUAAAUAAAAGUAUUCCACAAUUAGUACAAAGACUGUAAUAAUCCAGGUUAGCUGUAGAUGCUGCUAGAUUGAGGCUAAUUAUGCCUAGAGCUUUUCCAACUUCAGGUGGCAUGAUGCUAACAUAGUGAGAAAUUUUUUUAGGCCAAAUUAACUGGCUUGAGACUUUGCAUUGCAUGUAGACAAAGGAGCACAACUCUUGCAUGUUACAAAUGCUCCUUGUUUUUGAUGACAUCUCAAUCCAAUAAUUAAGUAUAUUUGAAGGACCGAUAAUAUCACCAAUUAAUGUUUUGCCUAUUCCAGUGGAUUAUGAUUUCAAAGAGCAAGCGGACAACAAAUUGCUGUCUCAAUGUUGAUGGUAAAUGUAACUUUCAUUAUGUAUUUUCUUGCUAUAUAUGUUCAUAACCCCUAUAUUUGCCAUUAUGAUGUACUAAGACUAUUCAGCGUUUUAAUAUAUCUAUGGGGUAGAAUUCCCUCAGGUUUCCUUUAUUUUUCCUCUUUUGGCCUCCCUUGAAAUGUAUUUUCAAAAUGGGAGGAAACAGUUUGGGUUAUGACAAACAACCACCUUCAGCUCUGGCACUGUUGGACUACACUGACCAACUGCAGUAAAGUUGAUGCAAUGCAUCUGUAUAAUAACAAAAUGUAUAUUUAUUGGAGAGUAAGUUAUGGUAUUUAUUUAGAUAGCAUCGUCAAAAAAGAGGAACAUGUUUAUUUAUUGAAAUAUUGGUGCCAAAGUGGACUUCACAUGUAUAACAUUCUACAUAUUCCAACUGUUAAA